AGAUGCUACCACCCACCUAGCAGCCCAGCCCGAGAGCCAGGGAAGAGCAAAAAGGCCAUUUUGUCUCAAAUAUUGAGUAGACCAAGGGGAAUCAGCAUGAAUUAAGCCUGGAGAGGUGGCCAACAUCAAGCCAUGCUGUGAAAUGCCAAGAAGAGACUGUUUUAUUUUGUCACCAGCCCACUGAAGAUCGAGGAGGAGCAAAACGAUGUAUUUGAGGACAUCUGCUCAUCUGAAUGAGCUCAGUCUCUCACUUGAGAGAUGAUGGAACCGAAUCCCAGAAACAGGAAGGGCUUUGUCCACAGUUACUCAGAUGUUAAUGGAUCAGCUGCAUUUUGCUUCAUGGCGCUCUCCUUUCACAUGCUUAUCAUCAGCCUUGCAAGAUGAGGUAAUCAACUGUCCAUAGACUUGGUGUUUCUUCUUGUCUUUGGAAGCAUGAUAAAAGAUAAUUCUGCCAACUCUUUAACUUUCCCCUCCAAGGAGAAUCCGAGUCAUCAUUCCUUUUGGCUGCAAUGUCCUUUCAUCUUCUGGUUCCCUUCAUAAUCAAAUGUCAAGAUUGACAUGAUACAGCAGCUCUGGUAGUAUGUCUGUUCUCUGGUCACUGGGCACGGAUCUUAUAUUUAGAGCUCCAAGAGCCAAGUUAAUGUUUAUAAAACGUCUAAAGACUGGGUGAUUCUCAGCAUCUUCUGCCCUAUUUUCCAGUACUUUGCUAACACCAAUGCAGAACUGGAAAGAGAUCACAUGAAAUCGAGGGACUCUGCAUUUUUCUUUGUUUCAUAGAUUGUCACAACCAAAGAAUGCCUCAGGAAGGGGUCAGUCUGUUGGUGAUGAGGUCCUUCAUUCUUUGCUUUCUAAGGAAUAAUCUGUAUGACACAGAAAAAGUGCUGGGGAGGAGGACUAAUCAUGACGACUACUAAAUAACCCUCAAAAAGAAGGAAACUAUUCUAUUUUAGCAUUCAAAAGAAGAAGAAAAACUAUUUAUGGAUAUGGAAGCCUCUAAAUCAGCUGUCUAUUACCCUGGAGCAUCAGUUUAGUGAAGGAAAAAACCAAACAAUACCAUAGAAGGCUAAUAUAAUU
rnacentral:lncRNA from 1 species